rnacentral:rRNA from 1 species
CCUACGGGAGGCAGCAGUGGGGAAUAUUGGACAAUGGGGGAAACCCUGAUCCAGCGACGCCGCGUGAGUGAAGAAGUAUUUCGGUACGUAAAGCUCUAUCAGCAGGAAAGAAAAUGACGGUACCUGACUAAGAAGCCCCGGCUAACUACGUGCCAGCAGCCGCGGUAAUACGUAGGGGGCAAGCGUUAUCCGGAUUUACUGGGUGUAAAGGGAGCGUAGACGGCAGCGCAAGUCUGGAGUGAAAUGCCGGGGCCCAACCCCGGGACUGCAUUGGAAACUGGCAUGCUGGAGUGCCGGAGGGGCAAGCGGAAUUCCUAGUGUAGCGGUGAAAUGCGUAGAUAUUAGGAGGAACACCGGUGGCGAAGGCGGCUUGCUGGACGGUAACUGACGUUGAGGCUCGAAAGCGUGGGGAGCAAACAGGAUUAGAUACCCUGGUAGUC